AGCGAACGCUGGCGGCAGGCCUAACACAUGCAAGUCGAACGAAGUCUUCGGACUUAGUGGCGGACGGGUGAGUAACACGUGGGAACGUGCCUUUAGGUUCGGAAUAACUCAGGGAAACUUGUGCUAAUACCGAAUGUGCCCUUCGGGGGAAAGAUUUAUCGCCUUUAGAGCGGCCCGCGUCUGAUUAGCUAGUCGGUGAGGUAAAGGCUCACCAAGGCUACGAUCAGUAGCUGGUCUGAGAGGAUGACCAGCCACAUUGGGACUGAGACACGGCCCAAACUCCUACGGGAGGCAGCAGUGGGGAAUCUUGCGCAAUGGGCGAAAGCCUGACGCAGCCGUGCCGCGUGGAUGAUGAAGGUCUUAGGAUUGUAAAAUCCUUUCACCGGUGAAGAUAAUGACUGUAGCCGGAGAAGAAGACCCGGCUAACUUCGUGCCAGCCGCCGCCGUAAAAC
rnacentral:rRNA from 1 species